rnacentral:rRNA from 1 species
UACGUAGGGUCCGAGCGUUGUCCGGAAUUAUUGGGCGUAAAGAGCUCGUAGGCGGUUUGUCGCGUCUGCUGUGAAAUCCCGAGGCUCAACCUCGGGCCUGCAGUGGGUACGGGCAGACUGGAGUGCGGUAGGGGAGAAUGGAAUUCCUGGUGUAGCGGUGGAAUGCGCAGAUAUCAGGAGGAACACCGAUGGCGAAGGCAGUUCUCGGGGCCGUAACUGACGCUGAGGAGCGAAAGCGUGGGGAGCGAACAGG